AGAGUUUGAUCAUGGCUCAGAACGAACGCUGGCGGCAGGCCUAACACAUGCAAGUCGAGCGAAGUCUUCGGACUUAGCGGCGGACGGGUGAGUAACGCGUGGGAACGUACCCUUUGGUACGGAAUAGCCCCGGGAAACUGGUGAAGGAACCGUAUGGUGUCUUCGGACUAAAGAUUUAUCGCCAAAGGAUCGGCCCGCGUUGGAUUAGGUAGUUGGUGGGGUAAUGGCCUACCAAGCCGACGAUCCAUAGCUGGUUUGAGAGGAUGAUCAGCCACACUGGGACUGAGACACGGCCCAGACUCCUACGGGAGGCAGCAGUGGGGA
rnacentral:rRNA from 1 species